rnacentral:tRNA from 1 species
GGAUGGGUGGCCGAGUGGUUGAAGGCACCGGUCUUGAAAACCGGCAAAGGGAAACCUUUCGUGAGUUCGAAUCUCACUCCAUCCGCCA